GGAAGAACAAAUAAUAGGAAGAAUAGAACACCGUUAAAAGAACAAUAGCAAAGGUAAAAGUUUAGAAAAAAUAAAACAUCCAGUUAUAUGCUUAUGCUAUAUUCUUCAAUGAUUUUUCAUUUACAUUGUUUAAAUUUUCUUUCUCUUCUUUAGUCAGGAAAAAUAAAACAGAUGAAAGAUACACAAUAAUCAAUAAUGGAUUAAAGUUUUGGGAGACUGUGAGUACUAUUCUGUUUUGUGGGUUUCAAGAGAGUUGUACACAUUUUAAUAUGAUAUAAAAGUAGUAAUCAAGAUCAAGUACAGCUUGCAAGCUGUACAACUAUAUGAAGAUCAAGAUCAUUUACACAAUUUAAUAUGAUAAAAGAGUAGUAAUAAAGUACAAAAGUACAACUU
rnacentral:lncRNA from 1 species